UGGCUAUGAAGCAAUUGAACAAAUCUCCACUGCAACUAUAAUACAAAUCCAUCUUCAAUCCCAGAGCAAAUUGUUCUCGUUUUGGGAGGGGAAAAGGUAUUUUCUCCGCUAAAAACAAAAAUUAACAAAUAUUUUGCAGAAGGUGAACUCUAGGGUCCCAACCAAAUCCUGAACAAAUUAGAGUGAAGCAGAAACAGCUGUUGGGUACAAUGCACAUCCUAGAGUAGGUUCUGGGCUGUCAGGCGAGAUUGCUUGGAGCUGGCCUGUCCUAGCUUUACCAUUUCUCAGCACCUUGGCAAAGAGUGGGGGGAGUGUAAAGAGGAGCACAUGUUCAAGAAAAACAACAGAGCUUCAAGUUCUAUUUCGUUUGGGACCAAAGGGGUCCCACGGUACUUUUUUUGUUUUGUUUUUUCUUUUUUUUAACCUCACCAAGUAGCCCAUGAAAAUGAAGAAGACUUGCUUUUUGUGACAAAAGGAUGCAGUAAACUGUGACUAAGCUGUGAAAAACGCCUCAAGCAUCUCAAGAGGAUUGUUAUCUCUUUGCAAGUGCUCUCUGCAAACAGGAUUGAGUGUGGUAAUACUGGGACCUUUACCUGGGAAGGUUGAACUUGCAUAACAAUGACUGAAACAUCCUCUGCAUUUUAUCCAAUCAUAAGUCAAAAGAUAUGCAAAGACUAAAAAAAGAUUGAAAUACAGGCUUGAUCAGUUUUCACUUUCUAAAUUUGCUUUCACGCCAUCUAAAACUAUUGUAUUUGAGUCCAAGAAAACUAGCAAAUGGUUCCAAGCAUCUCGCGAAGUUUUAGGUAUGCUAAGGAAUUGUAAAAUUGAUUCAGCACUGUUCCUCUCUUUCAACUUUAUGCUUAAUUAUUUUUCUCAUUAAAUGUGGUAGAGUGUGCCUAGGGACUCAUACAGAAUGCAUACCUCUUUUCACCCAAGCUCUAAACCAAUUAGACGUAAGAAGAAAAAGAAUGAAAAUUUCAAGGCCAAAAUGUAAUCUUGAUAAUGGAUAAAGCAGAUAUGGUUUAAUAUAGCUUAUUUCUUAGGGCAUGUGGGCUUUGUAACACCAGACUAGAAUUAGAAAGACUUAUGAAGCCUCUUUCUCAGGUGGUACCAGUCAAUAACAUAGGCUUUCUCAAGAGGGACGACUAUUAAUAUUGUUUGCCAUGUGGCCAAGUGCAAUCAAGAAUAUAUGCUCUCAGUGGAAUAUAACCCCCCCCAGCAUUAUUGUAGCAUAAUAUCUCUCUAUAUAUAGCCAGGUUUCUUUUUUGAUGCAUACAAAUUGUGAAAAUAAAUGAGAAUUAUAUAAAAUGAAAAUCUUUCUCCCGUUUAUCUGCUCUUCUCCCCAUCCCACACGCCAGAGGCAAAUGCUUUUAAAUAGUUGCUCUUUUACUUUCUUUGGUUAAUUAUAGUUUUAAAUGACAUGCUUGUAUUUCUGCUUCUAAAAUUAUUUUUAAACAACGUCUAUUGAUUCUUUUCCAUUAAAUUUGAGGAACUAAGCAGACUUAGACUACCUCCCACUUCUUGUUUCCUUCACAUUCUGAUUUUUAUUGAGCAUUUUAUUGUUUUUACUUCUUUUGUGGGAGGGAGCCUAGUUAAAAGUAAGGUAAGCUCCUAGAGUUCAAACUCCAUCACUUAUUUAUUUAUGAGCUAUGGAAUCUUGGAAAAGAUACUUUACCUGUCAAAACUUGGAAUUCCUCAUCUGUAAUUCGGAGUAAUAAUGGUACCUCCUUCAUAGGUAACCAUGACAACUAAAUCAGUCCAUCCAUAUGAAGUGUUUAGCACUGUGCCUAAUAAUCAGAAAACGCCAAACAAAUGUUACAUAUAUAUAGUUCUGAGACAAUAAUGUGUUUUGAUUCUAAAGUUUGAAAUUUAACCAAUAAAAUCAACACUAUUAUGAGUAUUUAAAUAUUUUUAAUGUAGAAUCAAAUGGCAUGACUGGACUUGUAAAAAAAAGAGACAUAAUUUUUGACACGCAAAUUUUUUUUUUGUAUUUGUUAAGAAUUUAUUACACAUAUAAGAAUAGUUUUCAAACUUUCCAAUUUGCAAAUUCAAAGACCAGUAUGAAGCUCAGGGUCAUGAAGUUACAGGAUUGAGGAAGUUGUUCAAAGAUACUUCCAAGUGCCAGUGUUUAAUAGAUCCUCUUAAUUUCUUCUAGAUUUUCUUUUGUCUCCUGGUCAUACUAAUUUCUUUUUAUCUCUUAGAUUGAGAAGGCAUGCAGUAUUGGUAUUCAGCUUACAGGUUCUACUCUGUGUGUGGUACUAUACAAGUUACUUAGACUUUCUAUGCCUUAUUUUUUCUCAUCAUCAGAUAGGGAUGAUCAUAGUAUCUUCUUCAUAGUAUUAUUAUGAAUACUAAAUGAAAUAAUACAGCAUGUAGAAAAGCACCUGGAACCCUAUAUUAUUUUGCUGUUUUUUUCCCUUUCGUAAUUUUGCGAGAACACUUCAUUCAUUUACUUAUUCUUUUAAGAUGUUGGAGGUGCUAAAUGUUGUGUGUCUGUAUAUACAAAAUACAUUUUUAUGUUCUUCCUCUUCCAUAACUGAGUGAUUAUAAGAGAUGAAAUUUGGAGCUCUUUUCCAAUAAUGAUGGAGUAGUUUAUUGCAGACCAACACUUCCAACAACAACACCUAGAGAAGCUAGGAAAAAAAAAAAUCAAUGUAGGCAUCAGAGAGUCAGGAUGGCAGCCAGGACUACCCAGAUGGGACAGAACCCAGAAUGAAGGUAGUGCAUCAAGGUGAACCCAAAAUUUUGCAUUGUUUUUUCAUCCAAGAUGUUUGAUAAGAUUGGCAUGAGUCCAAGAGCCUAAAAAUUUGAGCAGAAAGUGGCACUAAUUGAGCAGAGUAUUUGACAAUCUCAUAAGACAGAUGAAAUAAAAAUUGGAUUCAGUCUAUCAAAGAAAUAGGUCUCUGAUAAAAGUUUAAUACUUCCAGUUAGGAUCCCUGAAGGAGUAUACACUAAGAGUAAAGGCAAACAUGAAAUAGAUGAUCCUUCAUGAAAGAACAGACUUGAGCUUCUUUUUCAAAUUUGAAACUGGAUUAUGAUGAUCUGUACCUAUUCUGAAUGCUACUGGAGAGUAAAAUUCUCCCCUCAUUGGAGGAAGGCAGAUCAGCCAAAUCUCAACUUAUUUCUACAUUUUUUUCAAUCACAAUGUCUGACAUUUAAGUAAAGAUAACCAAACAUAUCAUGAAAUAGGACUAAAGACCAAAACCAAGAAGAUAUACAGACAAGAAAAUCAUACCAGCAGGCAAUUCAUUUAUUAUUUGAGGUUUGCUUUAAAAUGACUUUGAUUACCAUGUUAAAAUAAAUGUCCAGGGGUUAGAAUUUCACUAGGGAACUAGGAUAUAUAAAAUAAUAUAAUGGUAAUUCUAGAACUGAAGACUACAUAAAAGAAAAUUAAGAACUGAAAAUACAGGUUUAAUAUAUUAAUCACAACAGAAGAGAAGAGAAGUAAAUUAAAGAUAGAUUUACCAUCAAACAUCCAAACUUAUGCACACAUAGAAAAAAAUGUAAGAUAGAUCAGAAAUGCAUGAAAGGUGUAUGGGCCAUUAUGAAAGAUAUGCCAUAUAUUAUUGAAGUCUUAAAAGGAGAGGGAAAAAUUAUGGUGGAAACAAGAUAUAAAGAGAUGCUGGUCAAGAAAUGCCCCCAAACUCAUAAAAACCAUCAAGACACAAAAUUCAGGAGAGUUGCAAACUAAAGUGG
rnacentral:lncRNA from 1 species